CAUGCAAGUCGAGGGGCAGCGGGAGGAGUGCUUGCACUUCUUGCCGGCGACCGGCGCACGGGUGAGUAACACGUAUGCAACCUGCCUCCGUCAGGGGGACAACCCGGCGAAAGCCGGGCUAAUCCCGCGUAUAUUCCGUGAGGGCAUCCUUACGGAAGGAAAGGUUUCGGCCGGACGGGGAUGGGCAUGCGGCGCAUUAGGUAGUCGGGGGUGUAACGGACCACCGAGCCGACGAUGCGUAGGGGUUCUGAGAGGAAGGUCCCCCACACUGGUACUGAGACACGGACCAGACUCCUACGGGAGGCAGCAGUGAGGAAUAUUGGUCAAUGGUCGGAAGACUGAACCAGCCAAGCCGCGUGAAGGAAGAAGGUGCUCGGCAUCGUAAACUUCUUUUGUCAGGGAACAAAGGGCGGUACGUGUACCGCUGUGAGUGUACCUGAAGAAAAAGCAUCGGCUAACUCCGUGCCAGCAGCCGCGGUAAUACGGAGGAUGCGAGCGUUAUCCGGAUUUAUUGGGUUUAAAGGGUGCGCAGGCGGCGCGGUAAGUCAGCGGUAAAAGCCCGGGGCUCAACCCCGGCGAGCCGUUGGAACUGCCGUGCUAGAGUAAGGUCGAGGUAUGCGGAAUGCGCGGUGUAGCGGUGAAAUGCAUAGAUAUCGCGCAGAACUCCGAUUGCGAAGGCAGCAUACCGGUCCUUUACUGACGCUCAGGCACGAAAGCGUGGGGAUCAAACAGGCUUAGAUACCCUGGUAGUCCACGCAGUAAACGAUGAAUACUGGGUGUUCGGAAUGUAGAUUCUGAGUGCCGAAGCGAAAGCGUUAAGUAUUCCACCUGGGGAGUA
rnacentral:rRNA from 1 species